rnacentral:hammerhead_ribozyme from 1 species
AUCUAGAUGAUGAGUCCCAAAUAGGACGAAAUGCGCAUCCUGGAU